rnacentral:rRNA from 1 species
UACGUAGGGCGCAAGCGUUGUCCGGAAUUAUUGGGCGUAAAGAGCUCGUAGGCGGUUUGUCGCGUCGGUCGUGAAAGCUUGGGGCUUAACCCUAAGUCUGCGGUGGAUACGGGCAGACUAGAGGCAGGUAGGGGAGAACGGAAUUCCCGGUGUAGCGGUGAAAUGCGCAGAUAUCGGGAGGAACACCGGUGGCGAAGGCGGUUCUCUGGGCCUGUACUGACGCUGAGGAGCGAAAGCGUGGGGAGCGAACAGG